GUAAUUCCAGUGACUCAAGAGAGGCUAAGGCAGGAGAAUCACUAAGUUUGAAGCCCGUCUCAGCAACUUAGUGAAAUCUUGUCUCAAAUUAAAAAAUAAAAAGGUUCAGGAUGUAGCUCAGUGUUAGAGAUUGCUGAAUUCAAUACAGUAUGUCUCCCCCCCCCCGCCCCCCUGAAAAAAGAGAAGGAAGAGGAAAGGGCCUAUAGUGGAGCCUGUGGAACAGCAUUUAAGGGGAAUACUUGAUGAGGAAGAGGAGGUCGUAAGGAGACUCAAAGGAGUUAGCUAGAAAUGUAGGUGUUAGCCAUAGUAAUUCAGGUGCUCUAAGUCAGCCUUUACUGAUCCUCAUGACUUGAGUGUAUGGUAAGUUCAAAGACAAUGGAGAUUUGACUUUUGACAUCAAAUUUGAACUACUAGUGGCCAUCACCUGAUCAUAAAUUCUGGAACAAGUGGCCUCUUUCUUGCAAGUCAGUGGUAGUCUUAUUUUCUAGAUGAUAGAUUGAGCUUCCUUAGUGGUUUACAUGAGUUACUGGAGUCUUCCCAAGCUCACCCUCCUAUAUCAAGCCAGAAAAGGCAAGCCCAGAAGUCAAGUCAAGAGCUUCUGUCCACCUAUGGAUCCUCUAAAUAGGGCACUCCAGGGCUAUCUAGGGGUAGGAAGGGAAGAGAGGCAGCAUGUCAUAUGCUUGGAGUUCAGCAAAUUGUACCCACACACCAGGCACAGAAACACACAAGAAAAGCGCCCCCGCUCUGUGGGCGAGACAAAGAAGCAGUCCUAUUCCCACGUGCCAGCCCAUCUGCUUCUUUGCCUUCACAAACAUGCUUUUUUCUUUCUUUCUUUUUUGGUUCUCUGCAGCUUUGAAUAACAUGAAGAAGAAGAGUGGGAGACAAGAGGAAAGGUAAGGUUGAAAGAAGGCAAGAGGAAAGGAGGGAAGUAGGAAGAAACUCCAGCAAUAACCAACACAAUAAAUUGUAUCCUGG
rnacentral:lncRNA from 1 species